UCGAUUGACAACAGUAAGAAUGAAAGUGUUACCUUCAGAAGGAGGCAGGCCGGUGAUGAAAUCUAAAACGAUGUGGGACCAUUGGUGUGUCGGGGUUGGUAAGGGACGCAGCAGACCAGCUGGAGGCAGAUGUGAAGCCUUCCCUCGGCUGAAGACAGAGCAGGCUUGGAUGAAUUCCCGGGUGUCAUUGACCAGGCUGGGCCACCAGAAAUGAAUUGGAUAGUGCGGGUGAUGCCAGGAUUUCACGUGAACUUGGUGUUAUGGGCCCACUGAAGGAUGUCGGAGCAUGCGUAAUCAGGUAACAGGAGCAGGUGGUGGCGGUUCCCGCGGUAAAGGAUCAGCUCAAAAGGGUCCAGGCCGUGUGGAAAGACGUCCGGGCGGCCUUAUCCCAGUCCACAGAGAAAAACAAACAGCUCGCGGAGCUUCAUCGCUCUCCUACGCCCGAGUACAAGUAAUCAGUACCACCUGUCAUCAAUGAGCAUUCUUCACCACCUUCAUAAAAGCCUGCCAGAUCCAAGACUCCACUGCCAGAGUAUUAACGUUCUCCUGUGUGCUCCUCCGCGUCCCUCGCUGAAAUGACUUCUUCCACCACGCUGCCAAGCCAGCCGCCAUUUCUCCCCACCGCCUGCCACACGUUCCCUGCCUCGACGACGCGCCAGCACAUCUCAAGGACUAUCUCCAGUCCCUUUUUCAAUAAAACUUUAAUCAUAACCUCUCAGCCUUCGCCUGCUUCUGGUUC